UAAGUUGCAGCAGUAGUUGACGUGUCAUGAGAAUACUGGUUAUCCUUAUGCCCACCUGGCAGCUUCUCCUUUGUCUUGUCCAUCAUACCCUUCUCCUGGUGGCGCUCUCCUUCUCCAUCCUUGCUGCCACCAAAUGGCAGCUUAUCCUUUAUCUUGUCCAUUACACCCUUCUCCUGGUGGUGCUCGCCUUCUCCUGCAUAGGUGGUCCCACCGCCGUACUGUGCACCGGUGGUCGGCUUUGCAUGCAAGUACUGGUCAUCCUUGCUAGCACCGCCUGGCAGCUUCUCCUUUACCUUGUCCGUCACACCCUUUUUCUGGUGGUGCUCUCCUUCUCCUGCAUAGGUGGUCCCACCGCCGUAAUGUGCACCGGUGGUCGGCUUUGCAUGCGAGUACUGGUCAUCCUUGCUAGCACCGCCUGGCAGCUGCUCCUUCACCUUGUCCAUCACACCCUUCUUCUGGUCGCGCUCUCCUUCUCCUGCAUAGGUGGUCCCACCACCAUAAGGUGUAGCGGUCUGCGUUCCAUGAGAGUACUGGUCAUCCUUGUUACCACCACCUGGCAGCUUCUCCUUUACCUUGUCCAUCACACCCCUUUUCUGGUGGUGCUCUCCUUCACCUGUGUAGGUCGUCCCACCGCCGUAAGGUGUAGUGGUCUGCGUUCCAUGAGUGUACUGGUCAUCUUUGUUACCACCACCUGGUAGCUUCUCCUUUAUCUUUUCUUUUAGUCCCUUCUUCCUUCUUCCACCUAGCCCAUCAUCUUCAGACUACAAUAAUAGAAUGUUAGACCUUGUUACAAAAAAUAUAUGUAAAUAUAAUGCACAUAUCAUACUUAUAACCCUAAGAAAUUGUUCCAUCUGGUAAGAUAACAUGUUGAUGUAAUAUUUGAAUUUGAAACAUUGAUCGUGUUGAUAAUUGAAAAAACAAAAUGCGCAGAGAUGCAUAAAUCUAACAAGGGAACAAAAUACACUAAUUUUCCGAACAAUAUUCUUCAAGAUACGAAUUUGUAAUAUGUUAUUAAUUUAGAUCACUAAUGAGCCCAUCGUUGGUGCGCGCAAUUUUUCUUGCAAAAAUGUUAAAUUUGACAAUAGAAAAUUAUUACUUCUUUGAUUUUUCUAGCAACAUAAGUACCUCUUACAAGAAAAGUUUAUUCAUAGUACGCAUAGAUUUGUAGCAUAUCUCAUGCAUCUAAUGAAUUAACUUAGAACUACAUUUAUAUAGAGGUGAAAAGAGGAGAACUUACAGAGCUAGAGCUUCCGGAGCGCUGAAGUACGGCAGGGCCGCCAUGACGUCCAACAAUCACUUCAUCACCAGGCUUGGCAUGAGCAGUCCCGUAGCCAGUAUCAGUCCGACCGUGUUGAACCACGUUCCCUAACUCGUCGGUCCUACCGGCUCCUGCACUACCGUUAUAAGUCGGGUUCCCGUAGUUCUCGUUAGUUUUUUCGGGUGUUGAACCAUAAUUCGCCAUUUUUCAAAAGAACAACAAACAGAUUAACUGUAGUAACAAUGUUUUGCGACUAAUACAACAAUUGCAGUGAGAUAUUAGUGAUUUGCUUGGGAUGAUGUGUUUGAUUAGGAGUUGGGUUGGUUGGUUUAUAUAGACAACUGAUUUGCACCAGCAAGGCAUGCAGAUAUAGCGGUGAGCGUAAGGCAUUUUAACAACUUGGAGACAUGGCACUGCUGGGAAAAUGAUGACAAGUGAAAAUUAACGUCGGCAAGAUAUUUUGUUGCUUUUUGGGUGGGGGGUGGGGGGUGGGGGCAUAUGGAUAAAGAGAGAUGAAUACCUGUUUGAACUUUGAACAAUAAAAAAGAAAACGAUACGAAUACCUGCUCCCCUGGUGACCAUGGGAUUGGUGACACGUGCCCUCUGUACUUGUUCCACUAGCUAGCUCCCACGUGGGUAGUAUCUAUUGGUUUUAGCCUAGGUCUUAUUGACUGGUUGGUAAUUUGGUAUAUCUACUGGUCAUAAACUUGUAGAUCUUCUAGGUCUUACCGACAUGCUAUAAGUUAAAAGGAUAAUCUUAUAGAGACUAAAAUUAUAGAAAAAGUGUGGAAAUUAAAUAAUAUGAAAAUUAAUAAUAUUUAUUAUUUAAAUAUUAAUAAAUGUGUUUAUUUUUUAUUCGUGACAUAUUAUUUAAUUUGUAAAUUUUAUUUCUAAAUAUAGUUUCUCUAAGAUAUUACCCUAUAAGUUAUAUUGUCGUUUUAAUUUUUCUUUUGAUUAGAACAACCCAGACAUUAAUAAAAAGAAUCCUAUGUCGACAAACUCCACACCUUUAAAUCUUCUGCUACACACAAAUUUUCUACACUUCAAAAUAAAAGUAGGUCACAUAAUAUUACGAUUUAUUGGAAUUUUAUUUUAUUUAUAUAUGAAAGGUCUAAAGUUUGAUUUUCAUAAAAUAACGAAUUUGAACCAUAUUAUUACUAGUCCAAGGUUAAGCCUGUACUUUCACUUUUAGUGUAGAUAAUAUGAUUUGUUGAAAAACAAAUAAUGUUAAAAAUUAAUUUCAAGUGUAAUGUUAGAAAGACCACCUUUUUAUAUUAUGUAUCACAUAUUAAAUAAAAUUAAUUAAUUAACUUGACAUGUUCGAUCACUUGUUACAUUAUGUAAUACACAAGAUUAUACAAAGAUAUCUCCUUAGCAUUUUCUUUGACGCAAAUGUGUUUUAAAUAGAAUUAUUUUUCAAGCAAAUUACUAUUCAUUCGAAAGUAGCUCGUCCAUUUUACUUGCUAGAACUAUUUCUCUUGAAUAUACCCUUCUUCAAUUUUCACUCUCUACUGUCUACAUUUAAGCGUGGAUUACAAAGUCCUCUAUGAUGAAUGAUGAUCACUGUUAGAUUAAGAUUGAUUCGAACCAUCUUCGUUUUUAUCGCAUGUAGUCUAUAAGAAAGCAAUUUUUAAUUGUAAUUAGAAUAGAACUACUACCUAAAAAUGGAUUUGAUUAAACCAUAAACAGAGGUGAUACUCUCUACAUCUAAUAGGUUAUACACAUUAAUUUGCGCUAUAUCUUUGAAGAGGUUGCUUACGAUUACCGUGCCCGACCUAUACAUAAAGGAAGUCUUGCCAUCAAAAUUAUAAAAAAAAUAUUGACUUUGCUGGAGAUGUAUCCCUUGUAUGGAAUUUAAUGAUAUUUUAUGAGUUUCGACUUUGCCGGAGAAUGAUUAUCCCUCCUCUAGAUUAUGCUCCAUUUCAGUGGAGGCGUAGUAAAAUUUAUAGAAUUGGAUGUUUAUUUAACUUAUCUUUUGGUACAGUAAGAUUUUCAAUCAAAGAACGCCUAAACAGAAACCAGAAUGUAAUUGCUCCACUGAUAAAACGACAUACAAAGUACAUACUACAAAAACACAAACGACACUGCGAACCGCUCGCGGCUCACUCGUGCACGUAAGAAAAAAGUUCACACAGUCACGCCAAGCACCGAUUAUUAGCAUAUUAAAACAACUGACAGGCCCUAUAAUUCAAAUAUACGAAUUCACAGAUAUGCGUAUAUUUGUAUUUAGUGGUGUCCACCGGGAAGUUUUUCUUUGAUUUUGUCCAUGAUGCCCUUCUUUUCAUGGUGCUGUCCGGUGGUUCCACCGUAUGGUGUGGUGGUGGAGUGGUGCUGUCCGGUGGUUCCACCGUAUGGUGCUGUGGUGGAGUGGUGCUGUCCGGUGGUGGAGUGGUGCUGUCCGGUGGUUCCACCGUAUGGUGCUGUGGUGGAGUGGUGCUGUCCGGUGGUGGAGUGGUGCUGUCCGGUGGUUCCACCGUAUGGUGCGGUGGUGGAGGUCGUAUGUGAUGAGUAGGCAUCAUCCCUAUGCCCAGUCCCCGGAAUCUUGUCCUUGAUCUUGUCCGCAAUCCCCUCAUGCUGGUGCUCUCCGGUGUAGGUUGUCCCACCGUAAGGUGUAGGAUGGUCCGUACGGCCCCCAGUCCCUGGAAUCUUGUCCUUGAUCUUGUCCAUCAACCCCCUUUCACGGUACUCCCCUCCGGUGGAGGGGGCGGCAGUAGUCCCGUACCCAGUUCCAGUCGUGCCAAUACCGGUAUGGGCAUGCGAUGAGUAGUGGUCGUCAGCCCUACGUGCCCCACCAGUCCCUGGAAUCUUGUCUUUGAUCUUGUCCAUCAUCCCUCUUUUCUGUUGCUGCUGGCCUCCUGUGUACGUAUCGUUAGUAGUCCCGUACCCGGUUGUGGCGGUACCGAAGCCAGUGGCUCCGGUAGUGCCAUGUUGAAUUGGGUUUCCAAACUGAUCUGUUUCUUGGGGUGUUGCACCGUGUUGGUUCUGAUAGUGCGCCAUUGUUUCAAACUGAUUGCAAUUUGAUGAAAUAUUUCCGACUAAUUUGAUCUCAGAUGCGGAUGCUUAUAUAGGCAAACCGCGUAGAAAAGCAUGUCAUGCACUAGAGUAAAUCCAUGCCUUCAUGCCACGUUAGCAGCUGAGGACACCUGGCAGUUUUUAUGACGACACGUGUAGUGUGUUAGAGUCGAACAAAAUAAGAUCCAUUCUUUUGUCGUCAAGCUGAAGGCUCGUGACGGUUCCACCGCGUCCAUAUGCGAUAGUUGGGGACUAGCUUACGUCCGUACAUCAAAAUCCGUCGUGUAUUGAAACUGGGGAAAUUUUUAUUGUUACAUGAACACGGACGGUACAUUACGUUUUUUUUAUGUAAGUGGUGAGAAAUUUUAUUUUUUAAAUUAUUAACAUUUUAACACACAUGUCAUACCAUAUGUAAAAUGACACGUGAUGUACUAUUUUGUCUGCCAGUCAUACUAAAAAAUAUCUCUUGAAACUGGGAUGGUGAGACGUGUCAGAUUUCGACACGUGUUGGUAUUUGGUUAAUCUUGAUCUUAUUUUUACCGACUUUAGUAACUGGAUAGGUGCCGAGGAUUUUAUCGUUUAUCGGGUCCCACGUCAAUAGAUAUUUUCCAUUGGUUCGUAAGCACUACUGAACCGGCCCAAUUUCAGCAAGUUGUGGUAGCCCACAUACGGGUCCAAUAGGCCUUGUCUGUGGCAUAGUGAUAUUGGGCUGAUCACCAUUUGUUGAGUGGAUUCGGAAAAUCUGCUACGUGAUACGAAAGAUGAAUUUUUAAGGCUUAUUUAAGCCCACAACUCUCGAAAAUCAACUUUAUUCUCACAAUUCAAAAUGUGUUUUAGGGAGUUUUAACGAAAAGUUCAUGGUAUUGUUCACUUUAACGAAAAAUUAUAUUUUUACACUAAAAAGUCAAACCUGCUAAUAUUCACUUUACCCUUUAUUUUGUCCUUAUAGUUAAAACUCAAAAUUUUCAAACCCUUUUCAUUAGUUUUUCUUAAUUUUUAUUCACUUUACCUCAUCCCGUCACAUCCGUCAAAAUUAUUUUGAAAGGCGGCUCUUCUACGGUGGAUCCCGAUUGCUAAUUUUGGUAUUUGAUUGAAUAUUAAGGUAUGGGAUACAUCAUACGAUGCUGCGGUUGCCCAAAGUUUUGGGUGUUCCAACAAGAUGAGCAGACCCCAAUCUGGACCUUCAUCUGGCUUGAAUACGAAGACGGUAGAUGCAUAUUUUUCUGUUCAUUUUUUUCCUCCUUUUUUACAAGCUUCAGAGCUUCUUCUAGGGAACUAGUAGCAUUUCCCAUCCGUACAGGUCUUCCUCUUGCAGUUUUUUUUAGUACGUCAAUAUUUUUAUACUAAGGGAAAGGGGAGUUCGGCUAAGUCACAUAAUGAGCAGUCUAAUUUGGUAUCGAAUUCACGAGAUUCGAACCUAAGACAUCUCACUUCUAAGUGAAGAGGAAUAUCACCAGAUCAUAGUAUUUAGUGGCCUCUUGCAGUUUUGGAAGCUUAAUUUUACGAUGUUUGGGAUACCCCUUCACAGCCUUUAGGGGAGUAUACUUGGAGGUUGUUUUGCUUUCUGUAUUAAUGUUAUUUCCUGUCCUUAGUGUAAAACUAUAUUGAUGCACUAAAAAAAAUGUUAUUAAAAGGGUAUGAAGAUCCUCUUGGGAUCCCUUUAUCGUAUCCGUUCAUCAUAUAUCGUGCGGCCAAUUUUCUUUAGGUACUGUUUAUGUUCAAUUUUAAAUAAAAAAAAUCAAAUAGAUUUAUGGUCACAUGAUGACAGAUGAACGGACAUGAUGAAGUGUUCCUUAGGAUCUUCACUAAGAGGAUCCGAAUAGGACCCUAUUCCAUUAAAAGGGAAUAUGAACAAACAAACGGUUUUUGAAAUUAUAACUUAUAUAUGUUAGGAAGUUUCAAAUUGAAUCUCUGGUCCAAUUUUGAGUGUGAAAAUAAUUUUUACACUCUUUUUCUUCGUACUCAAGUGCUCUAAGUUUAUUUUUUUUGUUUGAUUCUGUUUUGAUUGGUUCAAUCUAAAUGUUAAAAGGAUAAUACUAGAGAGACCAAAUUUAUAAACCAAAUGAUGUGGAUGUUGAUGAUUGAAUUAUUACUUAAGUGUUAAUAUACUUAUUUCCUAUUAAUAACACAUCAUUUGAUUUGCAAAUUUGGUUUAAAAUUUUAGUCUUCCUAACAUUAUUCGUAUUAAAAAUAAAUACGAGAGUGCAUAAAUCACUUUUUUUUAGUGGUUCGGUUCACAUUUUUCCAACAAGAUCCUCUCUGGAUUCUUUUGGUGAGGAUCCUAGGGAUCCGUAAAUCAUGUCCGUUCAUCAUACAUCGUGUGAUCAGUUUUUGUCAGGUAGUGUUUGUAUUUAAUUUUUAAUAAAAAUAUUUAAAAUGAUUUCUAACCGUACGAUAUACGAUGAACAGAUAUGAUUCACAGAUCUUUGGAAUCUCACAAAAAGGAUCCGAUUUCCACAUUUUUGGCACCUAAAACAAAGAAAUGACACCAUCCAUCUCUUUUCCAAAGUAGAAUCAUAAUCACCAUAGGAGUUGAUUACUUAUCAAUUUAUUGAAGAAGAUGUCAAUGUUUCCUUGCAUCCAAAGAUUUUUAAUAUAUAAGCCGCGAUGGUCAACUCAGGUGGCGAGCGAGAGUGAAGUAAUGGGUUAGAAUUGAGCAAGAGUAAAGUAAUUAAUUGGUUAAGAUCAAAAUACACAAUUUUUGUUUUCAAUAUAUGAACUACUCAUUAGUACGAAAAAUUAACGUUUAUGAUUGUAUGAUAUAUUAUUUUUACUUAAUUGCCAGUCUAAUUGAUAUAAAACCAGACAGCCCAAUAAUCUGAAUUAUCGAAGACUUACCCAAAAAUAAAGUAUAGGUUUCAACUCGUUCCAAUGUAAAAAACAAAUGUGCACUAUACAUGACGUCCCUUUGAAAGGCAAUAAACUAGGUAAAAUCUAGUUGAAGACAAGUCCUCACUCAAAAGAGGAAAGAAGAAAAAAAGAAAGGCAUGUCAAGCCAAUAAUUAAUUUAUUAGGUACUCCAAAGAUGAUCAAAGCCUAAUCUUAAUCGAGAAUUAAAAAAACCCUAAACACGCUUUGGAUUUCGCUUAUUAUAAUUAAAACUUUCUUGCUCAUGUGAGCAUUGGUGUCAUAAUUGGUUGGCCACAUGCUCUUAUCAACCUAUCAAUUAAGAAUAACUAAUUAUCAUGCUUAGCCUUUCUUUUCCAAAUGAUGUAGUGGGCGGCAACUAUUGCCUUGGCUGGGCCCCAUGGAUAGCGAGAUUUUACAAUAUAUUCAGAAUAUGAGUGGUAUGUCAUAUGUUAUUAUAGAAGUGCAAGAAUUUUUUUUAAGCGUUUAUCCACUUGUAUUCAAAUACUAUUUACUUCUAACAUCACAAGCCUUAUUUAUUCAUAUUGAAAAAAAAAAAAAAAAAAAAAAAAGCUCUCCAUUCUCUGUCGCUGAAAACACAAAGGAAAAGUCAUAGUCGCAGGCCCUAAGCCUUUUAAGCUUGGGUGCCGACAGCAACCCCCUCCCUUUUCUCCUACUUCCCUCUUUCUCUUCUUCCCUCUUUCUCUUCUUCCCUUUUUCUAUCUUUUCAUUUUUCCUUGAGUUUUAUCCCAAACUUUUUUAGCUUGGUCUCUAUUUAUUCUUGUGCUUAUCUCAGAUUUGAGCUUCAUGCUCCUUCUUAGGCAUUUUUCGCCACAUCCCUAGCAUUUUUCGUCGGUUUGCACUGCCUUUUAUUUUUUAGUUUUCCUUCCUCCAUCUCCUCUGGCUGUAACGUCCUGCCCCCAAAAUAUAUAUUUUCGGGAAAUAAUUCUAAUGAUGGGCCCAAUUAAACUCUUGUUUAUUUAACUACCAUUAAUCGUGAUUCUUUAAUUAAAUGCCUUAAUUCCACCCAUGAUUUAAUUCCAGAAUUCUCUCACCAAGACAUAUGAUUAUAUUCUCAAUUUAUCACCAUUUUCUUUUCUUAUGUUAAUUUCCAUUCUAAAGAUUAAGGAGGUGUAUUCAAUUGGGAAUUUGAGGCAUUUUAAUUCUUUUAAUGAAUCUAUGGGUAUUCAAUCAGGGUUUUAUGUGAUUCUCUGAAAUUCAAGGUGUAUUCAAUUAGAAUUUUAAGCUAGUUUAUUAAAAUCCUUAGAAAUCCGGGUGUAUUUAAUUAGGAUUUUAAAAAAGUUCAUAACAUUCUAGGUGUAUUCAAUUAGAAAUUGAUUUUAAAGAAUUUGAGAAAGUUGAAGAAUUAGAGGGAAUUAGAUAAAUUUCGUAGUGUAUUUUAAGCAUCCACAAAUCUCACCUCUCCCGAUGAGAUUUCGAGGGAAUUGAAUUAAAAUUUUAUAUAGAAUCUCUACAAAUCAAUUAAACUCCAUAAAAAUCCAUAGAUUUAUAAAUCCAUUAAAAUCUCUCAAAUUCUCAAUUGAAUACACCCCCCUAAUUCUUGAUUAUUUAAGGCUGCAUCUAACACUGUUAGACUACUUACGUACCCUUGAGCGGGAUCAAGUCUUUCGUAGUUCACAAUUCAUUCUUUUAUCCAUUACCGAAUUCAUAUUGACCAAAAGUCAACUCUUGAUCAACAGUAGGGUCCACAUGUCACAUCCCCGCCCGGGCCCGAUGUCCUCGUCGGCACACUUCCGACCAGGGAUUGGCUCUGAUACCAUUUGUCAUAUCCCAGCCCGGGGCGGACCACUUCCCGAGCCCAUUCCACUACCGUAACACGAUAUUAUCUGCUUUGGGUUUACCAUUCCCUCACGGUUUUGUUUUUGGGAACUCACGAGCAAUUUCCCAGUGGGUCACUUAUCCUGGGAGUGUUCUGGCCUCCUUCUCGCUUAUAUCCAAAAUGCAACUGUAAUCAACAUAAGCAACAACGAUGUACACAGUUCACAUCAACAAGAAGAAAAAAAAAAGCUAAAAUUUACAAUAACUUGGUCUUAAUACUAGCUGGAGAUUAAACAAGAUGCUUAUUAUAUAUACUAUGCAUACGAAACAUGAACCUGCAGCUUCAGUUCCAGCAACUUCCAAGCGCCCAGAUCAGAUAUUGAACCCUCCCAGAUCGCAAUUGGGUGAAAAAUUACACCGCAUACCAGAUAUUCGAGGUUGUUGUAGAAGAGGGUGUGCUUGUCCAGCAGGAUCAAUUGCACCAAAGAGUGGAAAACGGUCAUAAUCUCUACCAAUUAUUCCACCAAUCCUUGGAGGUACAAACGGGUUAGGGUUCCUCCUGAUACGGUUGAAAUAAGGCCUCUCAAAUGAUCUCCACGUCACUACUGCUUUCAUUUGUUGCUUCCUAGUCUCCCAAUUUCCAACAAAUCUAAACUUCCAAUUAGUCACUGUUCCUUCACCUCCGGUUCCUUCUCCUCCAUUACCAUUACCGAACUCAUCAGCGUACUUCUGCUUCCACAACUCAUCAUUAUUACCAAGAUUUUGCAGCUCAUUACAAACACAACCCACCUUGGCAAUGUUAACACCAACCAGUGGCUCUAGAAUCUUCAUUUUGAUCUCCGGUGGAAGGCGCAUAAGGCUUGGUGGUGCAAGCAAACUAGCAUUUGCGCAAAGAUCAAUCAGCAAUGGGAAUGUGAUCCCAUCUUUCACAAUCUUCGAUAACUCUAAAACGAACCCAUCUCUGUCAUUGAAAUUUUAGGUUCCAUAAACGAAUUCAAUCGUUUGCGCGAAAGCAAUCUCAGGAUAGGUGACCCACCGAGAAGUUCUCGUGUGAGUUCCAAAAAAUAAAACCGUGAGGGCGUGGUUGGGGCCCAAAGCGGACAAUAUCUUGCUACGACGGAGUCAUGCCCGGGAUGUGGUGGGGGCCCGUGCCAGAAUGUGACAAAUGGUAUCAGAGCCAAUCCCUAGCCGGAAGUGUGUCGACGAGGACGUCGGGUCCGGGAUGUGGUGGACCCGGGCCGGGAUGUGACAAAUGGUAUCAGAGCCAAUCCUUGGUCAGAAGUGUGCCGACAAGGACGUCGGGUCCCUAAGGGGGGUGGAUUGUGACAUCCCAAAUCGCCCAGGAGAGUGAUCCUUAAAUGUAUAUUCUCAUCCCUACCUAGCACGAGGCCUUUUGGGAACUUACUGGCUUCGGGUUCCAUCAUAACUCUGAAGUUAAGCGAGUUCGCUCGAGAGAAAUCCCAGGAUGGGUGACCCACUGGGAAGUUCUCGUGUGAGUUCCAAAAAACAAAACCGUGAGGGUGUGGUCGGGGCCCAAAGUGAACAAUAUCUUGCUACGGUGGAGUCAUGCCUGGGAUGUGGUGGGGGCCCAGGCCGGAAUGUGACAAAUCUUUCUUGCUUAACUUCGGAGUUCCUACGGAACCCGAAGUCAGUGAGCUCCCAAAAGGCCUCGUGCUAGGUAGGGAUGAGAAUAUACAUUUAAGGAUCACUCCCUUGGGCGAUGUGGGAUGUCACACCACAAUUCUACAUAAUUUGAUCUGAAAGAUCCACUGUAACAUCCCACAUCGAUCAACGGAGAUGGGUGAUAUGCCUUAUAUGUGCAUGCCCACCUUCUAUAGCACGAGGCCUUUUGGGAACUCAUUGGCUUUGGGUUCCAUCGGAACUUCGAAGUUAAGCGAGUUCGGACGAGAGCAUUCCCAGGAUGGAUGACCCACUGGGAAGUUCUCACGUGAGUUCCUAGAAACAAAACCGUGAGGGCGUGGUCGGGGCCCAAAUCGGACAAUAUCGUGCUACGGCGGAGCCGAUUUGGGAUGUGACAGAAUGGCAUUAGAGUCACUAUGUUGUUCGGUGCGAGUGUGCCGACGAGGACAUCAAGCCCCUAAGAGGGUGGAUUGUAACAUCCCACAUCGACCAACGGAGAGGGGGUGAUGUGCCUUAUAUGUACAUGCCCACCUCCUAUAGCACGAUGCAUUUUGGGAACUCACUAGCUUUGGGUUCCAUUAGAACUUCGAAGUUAAGCAAAUUUGGAUGAGAGCAUUCCCAAGAUGGGUGACCCGCUGGGAAGUUCUCGCGUGAGUUCCCAGAAACAAAUCUGUGAGGGCAUGGUCGGGGCCCAAAACGGACAAUAUCAUGCUACGGCGGAGCCGGUCUAGAAUGUGACACUAGUCGUGCUUUUCCUUCCUCUCCUUUGCUUUCGAUCCUCUUUCCAACCCAUAAUCAUGAACUAGAUCUCAAAGUGUUGAACUCAAUCUUAACACAAGACCUUACACUCAUAGUCCACUGCUGAACUAGCAUGCCGAGAAUUUUGGGCAAAUGUGGAAAGAUUCACUUCGAAACAAAGGUGUAGCUCUCAUUUUGGGCCUAAGUUCUUGUGGGCCUCCCGUUGGAUCUUAAGUUGUAACUCUCAUUUUACUUGAGCCUUUUUACUCUUUUAUCCCUUUUUGUUUUUUUAAUGGUUUUGUGUUUUGUUUGAACUUUAGUCCAUCUACCGCAUUUGUAAUUUUUCCUGUCUUUAAUGAAGUUUGUUUUAUCAUAUCUUGUUUUGUUUUGUUCAAGCGAUAUGUAGAGAAGGAACAUAAUAUGGUAAAUAGCUAGUGUUCUUAAUACGAUAAAUUUUUAUGGUUAUUAGAAAGACAAAUUAUGUGGUGUAUAAUUUUAUAUGUUAUAAUAAGGAUGUGUUGUAGGAUUCAUAUGUUCCAUUUCUAGAAUAAAUUAAGAAUAAAUAGAGACACUUAUUUACAAUUCAAGUAUAACAAUAACAUCGCAUAGCUGUGUUUCGAAUACAUCAAAAUAUUACUUUCUUAACGCAACUAAGAUAUCCAACCAACAAUAACAUGCUUGUAAUAGUAUACUAGUAGUUAGCUAGCUGGUAAUUAACUGGGAGUCUGAUAAUUAACUAUAGCUAGCUGAUAAUUAACUAAAUUAUGGCACAUCUUCUCUGACUUUAAUAUUAAGACUUUGGUCAAUGUGACAUUUUUGUUUCAUUUCUCAUGGCCUGAUAAAAUAAAAAUGUGAUUCCUGCUUGAUAAACUUUCAAUUUUAUCUUCUAACAUGACCAUUUUUUGCUUUUUAAAAGAGAAUAGUUCAUGUGACAUGUGAGGACUUGUUAACUAUUGACUGUAGGGUAUCCUUAAAUAUUAUAUUUUAUUCUUCAUAUAAAAUGACUGGAUAAAAGCCACCCAUUUUGUGUGCGUUUAAAUAUAUGAGAGGUCUUAGGUUUGAUUUUCGCUAAAAAUGUGAAUUUGAACCACAUUAUUGCUAGUCUAUUGUGAUGCUUAGCCCAUUUCUACAGUCCUUUAACGUAGAUAAUACAAUUUGUUAAAAAAAAAAAGACAAUUUAAAAAGGAAUUUGAAUAAAAUUAAAAUUAAUAAAUAGAAAUGUAGGAAGUGAGAGAAAGAAAGUGGAGAAGUAAAACUAUGGUUAUGUGUUAGUGGGAGAAGGAGAAAAACAGCAAAAACUUAAUUGUUUUGAAGUUACUUUAAUACUCAUAUUUUUUAUUUUCUAAUAUUUUCGUUCAAUUAUGUAUAAAAUGGUAUAACAGUAAUUUUAUUGAUUUUUAGUUGAUAAACAUGUUCUAUUUAAUAUAGUUUAGAUUAAGGAUAGUGCUAUUUUUUUUUAAGAAAAAGGAUAGUGUUAUUAGCACAUCCAUUUUUACAUUCCACAUACACUUAUUCAUUUUUUCUAUUGAUAUUCUUCAAUUCAUUCGGUCAAAUGACCGAAAAUUGGGAAGGAUGUAUGAAAAAUAAAACUGAGUGUGGGGAUAGAACUAACCUAGAUUUGUGUUUUAAUCAUGGCCUAUUUUUAUAAAUUAAUGUCCAUUGAUAUAUCUAAAGAGCUUCUUAAAAAAUAUAAAAAAAAUAAAAAUAAAAACUUUAGAGUCCACUAAAUUUGUCUAACCUUUAUCAUCCAAGUUCCAACUUUGAAAACCACACAAAAUUCCAGCACACAAUAUGCCAACAUUUUUAAUUUCUAAGAAAAUAAAAUAAAGUAUAUGCCAACAUUAUUGACACGGGAAAUUUAAAUAAAAAAUGUAUUGCCUAAAAAAAAAAGAAGCAAAAUGUAUACAAACAAGAAGUAUUUUAUUAAAUAAAUUGGCAACAAAACCAGAAGCCAAAAGGAAAACGGAAGUAUCGCUUACACAUCCUUACAUGUUCAACAGUAAAACAACAACCCAUGACCUACCCAUCAAUCAUUGUACGAACAAAUUUACAAAAGCCAUGGAUGUUCUAAGUAGUUAAAACUUACACCUCAAUUAAUUUCACUAAUCUCUCACUUAAUCCAUGAUUAACCCGACUGAGUUUAGCACAUAAACAUGUCUGCAGAGGCCAUGAUUGGUUGAUUAUUCAAAAAGCCAGUACCCCAUGGGUUCAGAAACCCAUCACCUCCACCAAUAAUAUUAUGAUUAUCUUCUUCCUCAUAGAUCCAUUUGCUUGAAUUAAUACAAUCCAUAAUAUCAUUGAGAGACUGCAAUCUGUUUGUGAGCUCAUCCAUCUGAGCUCUGAGGACUGAGUUUUCUGCCUCGAGCUUCAUGUAAAGCUGGUUGGUCACGUUCAUGGAUGUGAUGAUCUGGUUGUUAUCCCUUGUCAGGAGACCAAUCUGAGCCGUCAGAUCAGUCAGAUGCUCCUGUUUUCGCAUCCGGGAUCGACGUGCCGAUUCCCGGUUGGACAGCAUUCUUUUGCGCUUUCUCUGGUCCAUGACUUGGUUAAGAUCUUCAUCAGAUCCUGAGUUUUGGAGCUUGCUUGACUCUGAAGAAACCCCACUUGAAGAAGCCAUGUGUGAAAUACUUAUAUGCUUAUAAAAAACCAAAAAAAUCUAAACUUUUCUCUUACCCAAGAAAGUUAAAGAGUUAUUAUUUGAAGAACGCAGAUGCUAGAUUUAAAAAAUAAUUAAGAAAAAAGUAAAAAUUGUUUAUAAAAUGUUGUAAAACCAGUAGAGGAAAACAACAGAGAAGGAUUGGACAAGGUGGGUUCUGCGAAGGAGGGUGGAGUUUAUCAUACACCCAGAGAGCAGGAUUUCACUGAGUACCGGAAACAUGAUUAAAUCUGUAGGUUUGUAUAUUAAGCAUUGGAGACAAAGAAGAAGAACAAAUGUUAUGAACUUUGAAGCAGAAACAAGGUUUUCAGAACCGGGAGAGAGGUUAUGAAAUUUGAAGCAGACACAAGGCGUUCAGAACCAGGAGAGGAGAGAGAAGAGAGAGAAAGAGAUCAAAUUCUUGGGGUAGGCAGGAAAGAUAAUGGAGAGGAGGUUUUGAAGAGUGGUGGAGGGUUGAAUAUAUAGGCCAGCAAUGGCCACCUAAAAUAUAUAAACUACCAAAAACAAUUUAAGAACAUGUCUGAUUGUCUCAUAUAAUAUAAUUAUGAGGAAAAAGCAAUAACAUAGAAUGUGACUCUUAAUGGCCAAGUCCUCAGUAUUUGAAAAGUUCACAGUUGCAUAUCGGAUAUGUAUUCUCCAAAGAGUCAAUAUUUUCCACCGAUUUUUGUACCACACAUUCAGUAUGAAAUGGUUAGGAUAAACUUGUAAACUGAAACGUCUUAAGAGAAACUGUGUCUCUCAUCUCAUCUUAAGAUUAUGUAACAAUCAUCCCUGAAUUAUAUAUUGAUAUAUAACUUGAGAAAUACUUUCUUUAACCAAUGCUAUAAUUAUGGAUUAUUGUUACAAUUAAGCCUAAAUUAUUAUGUAACAAUAUAAGUUAUAACAUGUAAGCAUUUCCUUGAAGCAGCUAUGAAUCGUAAAUCUUUGCAUAAUAAAAAUAGACGAAUUGUGAUUACCAAAUGAUUAAAAAAUGCAUGAUCACUCAUCUUUAAAUUUGAUAUUAAAAAUAAAAAAUGAACAUGUUUUUAUGUUUUUAACAUAAGAUGAUAUUUUUUUCCCUCAAGAAUCCAUCAUAUAGUGGACAAGUGUUGCAAAAUUAGGUUACACCAACCAAAAGUCGCACAAGAGUCUUGUGCUAACAUAGUUCUGACUUGCUGUUCUUGUUGAAUCCCAACACCAACAGUACAUGGGCAUGCGCAUGUGGUCAGAAUUCUGAGAGAUGGUCCCUUACAAUGGAAAAUGAUCAUUGUCGGAUCUUUUUUUUCUAAGGAUUCCGUGAUCGUGAUUGUUUAUCGUAUAAUGUGCGAUCAGUUUUUGUUAAGUACUAUUUAUAUUUAAUUUUAAAAUAAUUUCUAACCAUAUAAUAUACGAUGAACGAUCACAAUUACAGAAUCUUUAAAUCCUCAAAAAAAGGAUCCGACGAGAAUCUUUUUCCCCUUCCAAUUAAUGAAUAAUACGAAGGGUAACGUCUUUCACAGGUUAGGCCCCAAAACCAGUGGUCAUUGGCUGCCCAGCGAUGGAGAUGCGUUUCAUAAAAAGAAAAAGUCAAAAAAAAUAUAGCCACUCGAGUCCUUGUCAAGUUGUUCUCGUGCCCUCGAGGAAUGCUCAAAUUACUUUUGAAUAUGCCGUGCUCGAGGGCACUAGAAGCUUCUAAUUAAAAUCUUGAUGGUUUUGGUUUUCAGUCAAUUCUCAUGUUUGAUGUUUGUAAUUUUAUUUGAGCAUGAAUUGCAUGUUUUAGAUAUUUAAGAUUUUAGGUGACCAAUUUUGUUUGUUCUAUAAACAAUAAUCUCCUUAGGACUUUGAAAUUUUGAAUUUGGAAAACACAUAUGAUUUAUUGGACCCUUCCUCAACUUUGAUUGGUAAUUGAGGUCUACCCCAUUUAACUUGUUAUACGCUCACAUACAUACAUACAUACAUACAUACAUACAUAUAUAUAUAUAUAUAUGGUGGGGAGGAAGAGAGAGAGAGAGAGAGAGGAUAUUCCACUUUUUGUAUGCCAUGUGCUUAAGAUUUAGGUAAUCUUUCAUUUAAAGAUGCCAGCUCCAGUUACUUUUCCCCAAGCACACUUUUCAUAUUCAACACUGAACAAAAGGCAAUAGUAAGUACUGGUGUUUUUUUUAUAAAAAUGCGUAUAAAAAAAACAGAGCUAAAAAAGAUGUUUGGUAAAUAUUUAAAAAUAAUUUAUUUUCAUAGUUUUGAGUAAAAAAAAGCUAAAAACGCGAAGCAGCAAAAAUGAGUUUAUUCUCACAAUAUAGCAGAAACAAUUUUUUUUUCAAAGUACAGCAAUACCAAACCAGCCUGUUGACUUUCACACUACAAAUUUAAAGGGGGCAUUUUUCUCCUCCAUUAUAAACUAUGGUGUAUGCUUAUUUUACAGUUAAUAAUCUACCACGUGUCCUUUUAUUUGGCCUUGAUUAAUUUUUUUUUCAAAAUUAAAAAAAAAAAUUAAUGUGAAAGUAACUAAAGUUAAGUGAAAUGACACGUGACAGAUGAUUAAGUGUAUGGUGAGCAUACACUAUGAUAGUGAGAAAAAAUUGUCCCAUAAAUUUAGGGUGGCAUUUUUGCUCAAUGCCAUAACUAUGUUGUAUGCUCACUAUACACUUAAUCAGUUGUCAUGUAUCUUUUCACCUAACUCUAGUUAAUGUUCACAAUAAAUGUUACUUUUUCAAUUUUGAAAAAAAUUAAUCAAGGUUAAUUGAAAGGACACGCGACAAAUGAUUAAGUGUAUGUUGAGUAUACACCAAAAUUUAGAGCGUUGAGCACAAAUAUUCCUAUAAAUUUAGCGUGCAUGGCACUGUUUUUUUCUGUAUAGAAAAAUUCUGAAACAAGUGAAAUGCCAAGGAGACUUUCAAAAUGAGACUCUCUAUAGAAUCUCUGACAUCUCAUAUUUUAAUAUCAAUUUUCAUGCUAACAUUAUAAAUAUUAUGCUAAAAGCAUGAGAUAGCAAAAAGUACAUGAAAAAUCAUACUUUUGAAAGACUCAUGCAUAAAACAAAUCAUUUAUAGUGUGAGAAGCUAAAUUGACAGUACCAAAAUCGCUGCCGAAUCUAAAAGCCAGUGAAAUCAUAAGCAACUCAGGGCAUAUUUGAAGUCUUUCUUGGACCUUAUUUUUCGUUAAAGUGAACAGUACCAAAAUUUUUUCAUUAAAGUUUUCUAUGAAAAAAGGAUAUGGUAUUGCAAGUUGCCGUGGAGGGCUUGGCCCCUAGUGUCAUUGAAAAAAGAAGGGGGAGGAAACCAGGCAGGCAAGCGGUGGGCAGAGCAGAGGUCAGUGAGUGGUGGGAAGUUGGGGGUUGAGAAGAAAAGUUGGCAGACAUAAAUAUCCAUGCUCAUCAACUUCUUCUGUGGAGGUCUCUUUCCUUGGGUCUCAACUUGUGUGCUCUUUUUCCUUUCAAGUGCACUUUUGAGUGUCAUGUUUUUAAUUUUUUUUUGUGUGUAUAUAGUUGGAUAUAAAUAUAUAUGGUGGAUGUUUCCCUAGUUUGUUUGCCAAAAUAAAUUUAAAAAGGCAGCAUAUCCAUGCAGCAGCUUUAGAAAUAGGGUGAUGCUAUAUUUUUACUUCUUAAAUACUCAUUGUUAAUUUUUGUUUUUUUUAUUUUCUUCAAUUCAUCCAAUUCGAUGACCGGAAAUUAAAACGAGUGUAAAAAGUAAAAAAGAGUGUGGAUAGCACUACAUAAGAGAGAAUGCAUAUAGAAAUGAAGAAUGGUGAGUGAAGGUUCAAGGAAUAAAGGAGAAGAAUAUAGGAAAUAAAAACAAGAGAAAAUAUAAUAGACAUAGUUUUUUGUUUUUAUUUUGUGUAUUCUUCUAUAUCCACUUCAUUCCCACCACUUAUCCUCCACCUCUGGCCGUCCAUCGUUUCUCUCUUAUAUUUCCUCUUUAUUGUUAACAAAAUAGUAAAAACGAAAUAGUUUUCAGACAACUUUAUAUUCAAUUCCGGUAGACAUUGACCAACCAAUUUCUAAACAAAAACGAGGGGCUAUUUAACCACUCUGCUAUCCAUCCAUAAUGGUUUUCUUCUCUAAGGAAUAACGUUUCCGUUAAUAGUUUUUAGUUUUCAAUUUUUGUUCGCGAUAGAGAAACUACAUGGAGGAAAAGAGGGACGAAGAAGGGUGGAGGUACAAAUGAGGGAUAAACAAAGGACGAUGAUUAAAAUAGAAAUUCGAAAUUAUAACUUAAAAGUUUGUUUUAGUUCUUCCUUUUCAUUUUAUGUAGCAUUUCAUAGACAUCUUCGACCUCCCUCCCACCACUGUUACUCCACCGUUCUUCAUCCCUCAUUUCUCCUCUUUCUCGACAUCUCUGUCAAGUUUUCAUAGCUCUAGGGCAGUCGUAGUCUCCGAUUAGUGCCUACCACAGAAGUACAAAGCAAAUGACACAAAUCAUAUGGUGAAAUUCUAGGAACGAUUAUUCCUUUCGCCUUCUGGUAAACCAGCAUAUGCUUCUGCAUAUACACUAAGCUUUGAGCAAGGGUCGCCUUUGAGUAAAGAAACCUAAAGAGAGAAUGAAAACAGAAGAGAAGAAUGGAAUAAAAAUGGACGCGUCUUUAUUCAAUUCCCUUGGUUAUAAUCAGGAAUGUCUUACAUGCAUUAUCCGUAAUACAGAUUCAUAGCCGUAGACUACAAAUAACAAGCGUAAAAAUACACAGAGUUACACGAUAGACCAACAAUACGUUUCUCUAAUGCAAGGUUUUCUAUAAUUAAUAAACACAUUGCACAAAGAAACAGGAAAGCCUUUUGAAAGUUUACCUAGGCAUGCACAAAAGACGCUUCUGGAUAAUAGUGAAGCAUCUGAGCAGCUUCUGGAUGGUAGUGAAGCAUCUCGUUCCACAUCAUCUCCCUAAUCAUUGGUUCCUCCAUAUUCUCAUCUAUGUCGAGACUGAUGGGAACCUGGGCAAGAGGAUUGGAUCUCGGAUCGUAUAGCCCUGACAUGUAAGGGUGUUGGAGUGCUUCUGUGACGGAGAUUCUCUUAGUUGGAUCAAACACAAGCAUCCUUUGCAACAAGUCUAUAGCUAAAGGAUCAGCUUGAGGGUAUAAACGGGACAAAUGUGUCCCUCUAGAAUAGGGCAAUGAUUUGAUGUACUUCCUGGCUUUUGGGUUGUCAAUGAAUGCAAGGUCAGGUUCCUGCUGGCUACCAAGAACAUUGAUAAUUAGUUUUAGUUGGUUGAGGCAUUCAGUUCCAGGGAAGAUUGGCUUCCGGCCAAGAAUUUCAGCAAAGAUGCAUCCUACGGACCAGACGUCAAUGGAUGUUCCAUAAUUGUCACAGCACAAUAGCAGCUCCGGUGCACGAUACCAGCGAGUGACAACAUACUCUGUCAUGAACUGGCCACUACCUCCGCUGGUUCGAGCCAACCCAAAGUCACAUAUUUUCAAGUCGCAGUUAGCAUUGAUGAGCAGGUUCCCAGGCUUCAAGUCCCGGUGAAGGAUGUUUGCUGAAUGAAGAUACUUGAGCCCUCGAAGUAACUACAAUGCAGAAUCAGAUUAGUCACAAGCAGAAUAACUAUUAGAAGAAUAGAACUCACAAAUUAACUGAAGCUUGGUAACAAAUCAAACUUUUAGAAGCUUAAAUGCAUAGAAACCCCGGAGUGUUAAGUUCUACAUAAGAAAAUGCAAGAAGCUGAAACAUCUCCUCAUACUUGGUCAAAAUGUGCUUUGGUAACAUGCUUUCUAUUCAUUCAGUUCCUAAAUCUUUUCCAGAAUCGUUUACAUUUCCAUGAACUAAUUCAGCUCAAAAUUAGCAUCAACCAAUUAGGAUGACUACUUAAAGAAUUAAUGAGAUAAAAUAACACAAGUUAAGAGAAAGCCUGUACCUGAAACAGAAAGUAUUUGCAAUGGUCACUGGAAAGUGGUUGUGAGGACUUUAUAAUUUGAUGAAGAUCCGUAUCCAUGAGCUCAUAAACGAAAUACACGUCCUUGAAGCUUGUCCUGUGGAUAGGCAUCAUAACAUCCUUCAGAGCAAUCACAUUCUCGUGCCGGAUAUGUUUAAGAAGCUUCAACUCCCUCAGAGUCCUCAACGCAUCAAUGCGGUUCUCAAACACAUUAUUGAUCUUCUUGAUUGCAACUUUCUCAUUCGUUUCCCUAUUGAUUGACGAGCACACUACACCAUAUGCCCCUCUCCCUAUGGGUUUGAUUGGUACGUACUUGAUGUCAACCUCAAACAAUGUCUGCCACAUUGAGUAAUAAUGCUUCCCCCGUUGCCUAAUUCCGUUCGGAGGCUCAACUAAAGUUGCCAUUUUCCUGCAAACCACUGUAAAAUGAUCCAAAUCACUCAAAACCCCUCAUAACAUAAAACAUAAUUACUUCUUACAAUUCCCUGUUUAUGAUAAUAUUCUUGCUACUUUUUCCUACUUUUAAUUACAUACAAUUCACGUCUACUUUUGGCUUCCUUUUUUACUUUCAACUCCUAAUUUUUUCAUCUUUUUCUUUUACUUUUCAACCCAGCAAUUUUCCAAUCCCAUUCACACCACAAAUUCUCCAACUUCCACACACCCUAAAAAACUACCCAAGAAACCAAACUCAAAACUGAAACUGAGAAGCACACUUAUUCCCCGAGUUCGAACUCCCUCCCCCGAAUUUAAAUUAGUUUAAAGUAGAAUAUCGAUCACAUCAAAACACUAGCUGAGAAACCAAAGUUUUACUUUUUACCAACAUGAAGGCUCCCAAGUUCACUUUCCCAAUACCCAAUUCACGAAUUCAUAGCUAAAUUCUAAAACUUUAUACAAAAUUCAACAGCAAAAAAAAAAAAAAAAAAAAAAAAAAAAAAAAAACCCAGAAAAGAAAUAAGAACAAACCUCAAUAAUUGGCGAGCAACAUUAACAGGAGAAGAGAGAGAUCCUCAAAGGUCGUGGGGACAAGUAACUGGCUUGUAAAUAGAUCUUCCCUUAUCUAUAUAUAAAUACAUAUAUAUUUAUAUAAAUGGCUCAAAAGCUCACAGUGGUAUCAGAUCAUCACGAGUUACGAUUCGUUAUUUCGUCGUGAUCAGUGAGAGAGAUCUUAGAGAGAGGGAGGAGAGAGAGAGAGGGGGGGGGGGGGUUAAUGUUAAAUGCAAAUUAGUUUUGGGUUUUGGGGGGUUUGGGGAAUUGGGGGAGAGAGAGAGAGGAGAAGGAGCCAAACCCAUGACACCAACACGGCAAAAAUGGGUGGGUGUAUAUGUAUAAUAUCACAAAAACGACAGCUUAAAAGAUCAACGCUUUCUUUCGGUCCUCGUUUUUGUUGCUUCAUGCACAAUCAAUCAAACACUAAAAAAUCAUGCUCUCGAGUUUACGAUCACGCCGUCGGUUGACGGCUCCGGUUCAGCUCGGCUGGCUUAUCAGUUCAUCUCACACUUCACUCGUUUUUGUAAUGGUAAAUUACGUUUUACCCCCUUAGGUUUUGGGUUAAUUUCAAUCCCUUACGCAUCUUUAAAACAUUUCAAUUUCAUACAUUUACUUAUCAUUUUAUUUCAAUUUCCUACAUCCGUUAGAAAAUCUGUUAAGUAAACUGUUAACUGAUGACGUGGCAAAUAUGUAAUCCACAUUUAUGCUGACGUGGCAGCCAUAUUUGUGUCACGUGACAAAAAAUUAAUUUUUUUAUUCAUUUAAAAUAUAAUAAUAUUUUACCUAUUAAAUUAAAAUAAAUAUUAUUUUUUUACCACGUGGCACAAAUGUAACAGUCACGUCAGCACAAAUAUGGAUUCCAUAUUUGUCACGUCAUCAGUUAACGGUUUGCUUAACAGAUUUUCUAACAGAUGUAUGAAAUUGAAAUAAAAUGAUAAGUAAAUGUAUGAAAUUGAAAUGUUUUAAAGAUGUUGUAAAGAAUUGAAAUUGAUUCCAAACCUGUGGAGGUAAAGUAUAAUUUACCCUUUUUGUAAUUUGCAAAUGUACCUUUUUUCAACCCUAUUUAAUUGGAAAUUUAUACCAUGAACGGCACAAGAAUUCAUUGUACUUAUCUAUUUUUGCAUAUGGUAAAUGUUUUAUUUUUAUACUUUGAUUCAAUGAUAUUUUUAGAAUGAGGAUCCUCUCCAAAUCCUCUUUGUGAGGAUCCGAGGAGCAUCAAAUCGUGUUUAUUCAUCAUAUAUCGUACGGUCAGUUUUCGUCAAAUACUAUUCAUGUUUAAUUUUAAAUAAAAAUAUUUAAAAUGAUUUCUAGCCGCACGAUGUACGAUGAACGGAUACGAUUUGAGUAUCCGUUGAGGAUCCUCAUUCAUAUUUUUAUACUUGAGGGGUGGAUGACUUGAGUUAAGGAGCUACAAAAUACGCUAGUUGUAAUAAUUAGAUAUCAAACUCGUUAUUUGAUGAAGUUUAAUAUGAGAUUUUUCAUAGUAAGAAGAAAUGUAAUGAAAAAACUGUGUUCAAUUUGAAGGUAGAAGUUGUGUUACUCAUUGACGAAACUUACCACUAACAAAAUUGUUGUCCAAUUUGACAAGAUAAAGAAAUGCUAGUCAUCUCCGCCAUUCUUCUUCAAUUACGAACCCAUCUCAUCUCCUUUGACAUAUUUGGAAAUAAGGAUGUAUAUGCUCUUAGAUAAUGCUAAACAAUUGGUGGUUGAUGUUUUUAAGUAUUUCUAACGUGUAAUUUUAGGAGACCUAUUACUUCGUACUCAUCGGUACAUUUUAUAAUGCUAAGUUCCAUAAGUUUGGUCAUAUCUUAAAUUUUUUAUUUUACUAUUAUUAAUGGGAGUGGGAGAGUUCGAAAUUAUUAUAAAAAUUUAGAGGAAGACGGAGUUUCAAACCAGACUCAUGGAUAAAAAUCCAACACCCUAUUUACUAGCAUAUAGGACCACAUGUGACCGCCCCUCCUUGCUCUUAUAUGACUUUGCCACUGGGGUAACAUAUACUUAACUACAAUGGUAUUAUUAAGAGUUAUGCACCACAAAAGGAACAUUAACAUAAUACAUGAAUGCUUUGUGUAAUCUGACCUCUAAGGAAACAUAUUUAACCCAUUUGAUUUUAGAAAUCAAUGCUAAUAACGAUCGCAAGAAUUUUGUGAUAUUGAUCAUACCGUGCUCUUAUUAUCUUAUUGAUUCAUGAUUUACAUGUAAAUAAAAAAGAAUAUAAUGUAUUAAUAUUGUAAUAGUUGAUGUAUAAUUAUAUGUGUAGGGAAUAUUAAGGUAAAAAAUGCUACUCUUACCACAUAUUUGUAUUAUCAUUUGUAUCAUCUUUUUAAUGAAGAUAAAACUUACAUGUGUUGGCUGUCCCAACCUAUCAGAGAGAUGUUGUACAAAUAGAUAGUUACGUGUAAUGUUACUCUAUUAAACCCUUUUGCUUUUGGUGGACUUGGCUUAAGCCAAACCAAAUGGCUAUAAGCCUAAAACUAAAGGGAAGCAGUCCAACUUGAAGAAAUGGUAAAGAUUGUGAAGAGUGUUGUCUUUGCUUUCCCUACAAUUCAGUAAUCUCUCUCUCGUGCGAAUCUUUCAAAGAAACAUUCUCUAAACGCACACUUCCUCCGCCGCCCUCCCCCACCUCUCAAGCAACCGGCGCAGCCACGUGGAGAUGCGGUAGCUGCCAGGCCGGUUCCUUUGCUGAGUUUUGCUUAUCUUGCUUGGUGGGACCCGCAUGAGCAAACCCUAUUUUGUUAUCCAUCUAGAUCUAAUAAUCUAAAGAGAAGUAGCUCAACUCUCACUUGCUUCCCAACAAGCAAAUCACAAAGUCUUUGUCUACAUCAUGAUGUCAUAUCAUGCGUAAUGCACCCAAACAAACCCAGCUGGGUUUGUACCAAACAAUUAAUACUUACAUCAACAACUAUCGCCGACAAGAUUGGAACUCAGAACCGACUCCAGCAAAAUUAGAGACUGAAUGUCCGUUAAAAUUAGGUUAUCUACAACAUGAUCAGAUCAUGCAUGCAUCCAAAAUCCAGUUGGGUUUGUAUCAAUCCCUAAAUAGUUUUUCCAACAACUAUCGUCCUUCUAUGAGAUUUGAACGCAUGAUUCCUUUAACAAAAUAGAGACUGAGUGUCGCUAGACCAAUAUUUAUUGCCUAUCAGAAACUUAUAUUGAAAAAAUAAAGAUAUUUACAUAAAUUAUAAUAGUUAAAAGUGAUAAACUUGCAAACUAUGCACAUGGCCAAAACUUUGUGCAUUCAUAAUGUAAGUGGUAAGAGUUUGAUGGAACAGUAAGUAGAGUACAGGGGCGCAUUUGGGUGGGGGGUUUUGAUAGCCAAAACAUAUCUUCUUCUGUGUCUAACAUUCUUCACCAGAUAUUGAACUGCAUUACAACCCAAAACAUAUUAGAAAUGUCACAAACUCCACCUAAAAGUCGAAUAAGUGAUGUUUUCGUCUCGGUUGCUCACCAUUUUCUUCUUCAUGUUGUUCUUCCUCUUCUUCUUUUUGUCAAGAGAGCCAAAGAGUUCCUCUUGCUGGGUAAGCGACUCCUCGAGAGCCUAAACAAGAAGCCAAUUCAAAUGAAGAUCAUACACAUCUAACGUUAAUAGUACCCUGCUAGUGAUUGAUGCAAAUGACAGAUUUUUACUUUCCUAUUGGAUUAUGUUUCAUGAUUUAUAGCGGAACUUAUAGAAACCCUACCUGCUUUGUUGCCAUAAGCUCUUUCUCCAAGGCACCAACCCGGCCUAGAGCAGUAUUCAGCAUUUCCUCCUUCUGAGCUGGCACGGUGGCUGGUUUCAUGUUCAAAACAGUCAUUCUCUCUUCCAACUCAGCCAUGCGUUUCAUGACAGUCAUGAGAUCUGAGCCGGAGAUGGCAGCGUGUGAAGAGCCCUGGCCUUUGACCAUUGUGUCACCGUCGCAGACAGUGCUGGAGUAGAAGGUGGAGUCAGUGAGCCUCUUCGGCAUGCUACGUGUUAGUCUGACCAUGGCGACAAUGCCCAUAAGAAACGUCAGAAUAGCAGCCAUAAUCUGAGAGCCGAACCCUUCAGGAAGUUUGCAAGCAUUGUUCCUGGUGAAACAAUCUCCUGCUGCAAGUAAAGGAAACUCAGACCCUACGGAAUAUCUUAGAGCUAGAAAAGGAAAGGAAACACAAUAUACAAGGUCACCUAAAUUCUUAGAUGAUUUAGCGUUUGAGAGGGCAAAUUUAACAUUCCCCGUCGCCAUUGGCCAACUUGAAUCCACGGAUUUACCAACCAUCGAGGCACUGUCCUCGCGCCUGAAAGACGCUUCGCGAGUUUUGGCUAGCGAUACCUGCGAAAAUUAUUUCACAGAGGAAGUUAGAACUGUCGCGACAAGAGAGGAGGGAAACUUCAGCUACAAGAUACGCAGAUAACAAGUAUAUGUGUGUCUAUGCUUAGAAACAUAUACAUGAAAAAAGGAAAGCUCUCAGUGUACGAGACAAUUGCUCGGUUGAAAAUUAAAUUGAACUUGGAAGCUUUUUGCACCUAUGCUUAGAAACAUAUACAUGAAAAAAGGAAAGCUCUCAGUGUACGAGACAAUUGCUCGGUUGAAAAUUAAAUUGAACUUGGAAGCUUUUUGCACUUACUUCUUCAUGGAAGCGAGAAAGUGCAUGAUUAAGUUUAGGAGUGGAACGGCCGAUGUUUAGAGCUGCACCGAGUCCCUAGGAAGAUUAUAUGAUCAAGGUAUAGAUGACAUUUACGAACCAGAAGCACCAAAAUAUAUUUUCAAAAAUCAUGCGACUGAGAAUUUUGAGAUGAUCUAAUGUCCGAAAUGUGACAAUCCAAAAAACUUGUCAACUAGGGGCAGGUUUAUAAGGAAAAAGAAAAGCAGAAGAUAUGUUCAAGUAAGACCUACUUGAACUCCAGGUUUUCUUGAACAUUUAUGAAUGCCGUUUUGAACCAUCUGCAAGUACAUAAAUCGAUACUUAUGAAUUCUAAUUAAAUUAGAAGUUAAAAUAAUGCAUAGUAGUAAUGAUGCAUAAAGGGGGGAAAAAAAAAGAAGAAGAUACAGAACGGUCUUUAUCUACCUUCACGAUCUCAGGUUGUUUCCAGGGUCCCUUGUCCGAACGCAUACAGCCUCCUUGAUCAGAACAAGUACAUGUACCUCCUAAAAACUUGGGCAAUUCGCUGGAGCAAAGUCAAGCCAGAAUAUGUACAUCAAAAUAAACGAACUGAUGGAGCAGCUUAUAUGGUAGUGAAGAUCCUAAAAAGUCUGCCUCGUUUUGAACAGACUUACCUAGCAUCAAUUAUUUCAAGCAACUUGCUCUGAUACUUGUUGCCAAGGACCUGGAGGAUGAUAGUUUUCCCCGAUUAAUGUAGCCCUGACGAAAACAAGCACUUUUUAGCAUCAUAAUGUAUAUACUCACAUUAAUCUUUGCUGUAGUCUUCGGGUCAAGGAACGACUUCACGCUGUUCCACAACAUUCUAAAGCCAGAACCAGCGUUGAUGAUAAACAUGCGAUUCAAGGUCUGCGGUAAAAACAACAAUUUAUGUGGCAUCAUAAUUCUGCCAUCGACAAAAUAUGUUCUGAAGUUCCCGAAAUUUAUAGACCAAAAGAUGUUAAGGUACCUCAGGAUAAUUGUCACCGUCAAUCUUCUGAAGGCGAGUAAUAAGUUCCCUGGCAGCUUUGUUGAAAUUCUUAAAUCCCUGAGGCAUUACAGUACAACAACAACAACAACAACAAAGCCUUUUCCCACUAAGUGGGGUCGGCUAUAUGAAUCCUAGAACGCCAUUGCGCUCGGUUUUGUGUCAUGUCCUCCGUUAGAUCCAAGUACUCUAAGUCUUUUCUUAGAGUCUCUUCCAAAGUUUUCCUAGGUCUUCCUCUACCCCUUUGGCCCUGAACCUCUGUCCCGUAGUCACAUCUUCGAACCGGAGCGUCAGUCGGCCUUCUUUGCACAUGUCCAAAUCAUCGGAGCCGAUUUUCUCUCAUCUUUCCUACAAUUUCGGCUACUCCUACUUUACCUCGGAUAUCCUCAUUCCCAAUCUGAUCCUUUCUCGUGUGCCCACACAUCCCACGAAGCAUCCUCAUCUCUGCUACACCCAUUUUGUGUACGUGUUGAUGCUUCACCGCCCAACAUUCUGUGCCAUACAACAUCGCUGGCCUUAUUGCCGUCCUAUAAAAUUUUCCCUUGAGCUUCAGUGGCCUACGACGGUCACACAACACGCCGGAUGCACUCUUACACUUCAUCCAUCCAGCUCGUAUUCUAUGGUUGAGAUCUCCAUCUAAUUCUCCGUUCUCUUGCAAGAUAGAUCCUAGGUAGCGAAAACGGUCGCUUUUUGUGAUCUUCGCUAGAUUGCUCCGGUCAUUAGUGUGGAUAAGUAUAUAAAUGGAUAGAGAUAGGAAAGCAAACACAAGAUGUACGUGGUUCACCCAGAUUGGCUACGUCCACGGAAUAGAAGAGUUCUCAUUAAUUGUGAAGGGUUUACACAAGUACAUAGGUUCAAGCUCUCCUUUAGUGAGUACAAGUGAAUGAUGAUUUAGUACAAAUGACAUUAGGAAAUAUUGGGGGAGAAUGAUCUCGUAAUCACGAAACUUCUAAGUAUCGGAGUGUGGUGUCGUCUUGACUUGCCUUAUCUGUCUCAUAGGUAGAUGUGGCAUCUUCUCUGGAAGUACUACUCUCUUCCUCCAUCCAGGGGUGGUAUCUUUAACUGGUGGAGAUGCACAAGGUAAUGUAUCAAUUUCACUUGAAGCUUACUUGUAGUCUCAGGCUUGGUCAAGCGCGAUACAAACCAUGUAGUAGGAGUCCCCCAAGUCGCCGAGCUAGGGGGUCUGCUGAAAGAGGUGACAGACAAGGUAAGCAAUCAGAGCUCCGACUGAUUGUUCACCUUCUCCCCAUCUUGCAGCAGCAUGAAGGAUAAAGAGAAGAAAAAUGAGAAGAGAUGAUAUGAGAUACUUUUGCUUUUGAAGAAGUAACUUUCCACAGGCUUAUUCUUGAACUGAGCUGGAGGGUUUUCUGGUUUCCUCCAGAGUAUAAGGCCGACUGAAGAAUUUGAGGGUCAAAACAAGUCCAUCAAAUCUAGAGUACGUUCCACCCUGCUGAUAUGGGAUACUUUUGCUUUUGACAGAGUAAUGGGUGUAUCGGCACGUGUGCUGUUACGCUUGUCUCCACAUGCUUCCUUGUAUCCUUCGCACUUGCCCUAUCUGUUCCUCAAGCAGAUGCGGAAUCUUCCCUGGAAACAUAAGAUGUUGAAGAUGAGUACUCGAGAGCAAUGCCAGGUAAGUAAUCAGGUAAGGGGUUCCAGGCAGUCAGUUCCUGGCUGGAAGCUUGAUCCAAGUGCUGACUGAUUACUCUCUUUCUCCUUGUCUUGCAGGUAAAAACAAGGCCAAAGGAAAAGACAGGGAAAAAGCAUGAUAUGGGAUACUCUUGCUUUUAACCCUGAUGAUAUGAGAUAUUCUUGCUCUAGUAUAGCUUGUUUGCAGAGGUAUUAUCGGGGGGAAAGAAAGCUGAAUAUUUCGAAAGGCUUCGUUGGGAGUGCCCUCUCAGAUAUGAUGAAGGGUUGAGCAUUUUUGCAGGUCUGCCUGUCCGUUGGGGAUGAAGGUCGACAUAUAUAGGAGUCUCCCUAACAACAGGUAGUAAUGCUAUUCCUUUACCCUGCUUGGUCAUAGCACGGUAGUGGGAGCUGCCAGUUUCACAUGUUUUAACUCUGUCAGAGCACUUUGAAAAAGUGGUCUGUGGUAUCUGGCUCUCGAGAUUCGGAGAACGAUGCCUCUUCGAUUUUUGAGAAAGCAAUCAUGCUGGGGGUCUGGCUCUCGAGAUUCGUAGAGCAGUGUCUCUUCGAUUUUUGAGGAAGUAAUCAUGUUAGGAGUUUGGCUCUCGAGAUUCGGAGGGCGGUGCCUCUUCGAUUUUGGAGCAAGCAAUCCUGUUGGGAGUGUUGUCUCGAAUGUGAGUAAAGGUUGGGCAUGUUUGCUAGUCUACCUUGCCACGAAGCACAAAGGUUGACACACAGAGACUUUCCAAUUAUCCAGCAAUGGUACUGUUCCUUUACCCUCUCUUCGCUUUUGAGAAAGUAGUCAUGUUGGGAGUCUGGCUCUCGAGAUUCGGAGGACGGUGCCUCUUCGAUUUUGGAGCAAGCAAUCUUGUUGGGAGUGUUUUCUCGAAAGUGAGUAAAGGUUGGGCAUGUUUGCUAGUCUACCUUGCCACGAAGCACAGAGGUUGACACACAGGGACUUUCCAAUUAUCCAGCAGUGGUACUGUUCCUUUACCCUUGUGGGUAAUAAUAUGGUAGCUAGACCUUCAAAAAUUUAUGUGUCUAAACUUUGUUAGUGAUGUUUCUUUGCUAUUCUUUUACCUUUCUUGGUCAGAGCGAUGUAGUAGGAGCUGCAAGCUUCACGUGCUCAACUUUGGCAGAGAACUUUGGCAAAGUUAUCUGUGGUACCCAUGAGCUAUUGGAAGUGGGUGAUUGAACAGUAAGAUUCAUGUGCUUUCUACUUCACCAGAAGUCUUCGACAGAAUGCCCAUAAUUUCUGCAAAGCUGAGUGUGCGUGUGUGACAGGUGCUGACAAGGCUAGAAAAGUAGGUGCCUCUUCGAUUUCUGAGAUCGGCCCUCGUGGUCUCUGAGCAGCCCAGCUUUUGAGAAAGCGAGCGCCUCUUCGAUUGAUUCGGAGAACGAUGCCUCAUCGAUUUUUUGAGAAAGCAAUCAUGCUGGGGGUCUCUGGCUCUCGAAGAUUCGGGGAGCAGUGUCUCUUCGAUUUUUGAGAAAGUAAUCACGUUAGGAGUCUGGCUCUCGAGAUUCGGAGGGCGGUGGUGCCUCUUCGAUUUUGGAGCAAGCAAUCUUGUUGGGAGUGUUUUUCUCGAAUGUGAGUAAAGGUUGGGCAUGUUUGCUAGUCUACCUUGCCACGAAGCACAGAGGUUGACACACAGGGACUUUCCAAUUAUCCAGCAAUGGUACUGUUCCUUUACCCUCUCUUCGAUUUUUAAGAAAGUAGUCAUGUUGGGAGUCUGGCUCUCGAGAUUCGGAGGACGGUGCCUCUUCGAUUUUGGAGCAAGCAAUCUUAUUGGGAGUGUUUUUCUCGAAUGUGAGUAAAGGUUGGGCAUGUUUGCUAGUCUACCUUGCCACGAAGCCCAGAGGUUGACACACAGGGACUUUCCAAUUAUCCAGCAGUGGUACUGUUCCUUUACCCUUGUGGGUAAUAAUAUGGUAGCUAGACCUUCAAAAUUUAUGGGUCUAAACUUUGUUAGUGCUGUUUCUUUGCUAUUCUUUUACCCUUCUUGGUCAGAGCGAUGUAGUGGGAGCUGCAAGCUUCACGUGCUCAACUUUGGCAGAGAACUUUGGCAAAGUUAUCUGUGGUACCCAUGAGCUAUUGUUGCGUGUGGGAAGUGGGUGAUUGAACAGUAAGAUUCAUGUGUUUUCUACUUCCCCAGAAGUCUUCGACAGAAUGCCCAUAAUUUCUGCAAAGCUGAGUGUGCGUGUGACGGGUGCUGACAAGGCUGGAAAAGUAGGUGCCUCAUCGAUUUCUGAGAUCGGCCCUCGUGGUCUCUGGGGAGCCCAGCUUUUGAGAAAGCGAGCGCCUCUUCGAUUUCUGAGAUCGGCCUUCGUGGUCUUUGAGCAGCCCAACUUUUGAGAAAGCAAGCGCCUCUUCGAUUUCUGAGAUCAACCCUCGUGAUCUCUAAGCAGCCCAGCUUUUGAGAAAGCAAACGUCUCUUCGAUUUCUGAGCAGGCGCCUCUUCGAUUUCCGAAGCUCCGUCGAGUGCAGAUUUUUAUAGAGGCUGACAUUAAGUUCCAAAGCACACUUGAAUCUCCACCAGUAGAAGCUUCAUUCUUGCACUUCUAAGAUCUUGAUUUGUCCGACCUCUUCUCUCUUCAACACCUUUGAAAAUGUCUGGCCCCUCCGACCGUCGUUUUGACUUGAACCUUGUUGAAGAGGCAGCCCCGCCUUCUCCAGACAACAUAUGGCGCCCAUCCUUCGUCUUCCCUACUGGUCCUCUUACCGUUGGGGAUUCCGUGAUGAAGAAUGAUAUGACCGCUGCGGUGGUGGCCAGGAACCUUCUCACUCCCAAAGAUAACAGACUACUUUCCAAACGGUCUGAUGAGUUAGCUGUUAAGGAUUCGCUGGCUCUCAGUGUUCAGUGUGCAGGUUCUGUGUCUAAUAUGGCCCAACGCCUAUUUGCUCGAACCCGCCAAGUUGAAUCCUUGGCGGCUGAAGUGAUGAGUCUCAAACAGGAGAUUAGAGGGCUCAAGCAUGAGAAUAAACAGUUGCACCGGCUGGCACAUGACUAUGCUACAAACAUGAAGAGGAAGCUUGACCAGAUGAAGGAAACUGAUGGUCAAGUUUUACUUGAUCAUCAGAGAUUUGUGGGUUUGUUCCAAAGGCAUUUAUUGCCUUCGUCUUCUGGGGCUGUACCGCGUAAUGAAGCUCCGAAUGAUCAACCUCUGAUGCCUCCUCCUUCUAGGGUUCUGUCCAGUACUGAGGCUCCAAAUGAUCCCCCUCCGGUGCCUUCUCUUUCUGGGGCUCUACCGACUGCUGAGACUUCUCCUAAGCAACCCUUGUGAAGGCUCCGUCUUGUGUGUUUAUUUUGACUCAUGUAUAUGUACAUAUUUGUAGCUGAUCGGGGAUAUCAAUAAAUAAGCUUUCCUUCAUUUCAACGUAUUGUGUUAAAUACACCAAAGCCUUCUUCGCUAAGUUCUUUGAAUUUUCUUUUGUUGAAGCUUGUAUGUUGAAGCUUUCUGAGUGGAGCAUGUAGGUUGGGGUAGUGUUCCCUUAAUUUCCCGAGUGAGGAAAACUUCUCGAUUGGAGACUUGGAAAAUCCAAGUCACUGAGUGGGAUCGGCUAUAUGAAUCUUAGAACGCCAUUGUGCUCGAUCCUGUGUCAUGUCCUCUGUUAGAUCCAAGUACUCUAAGUCUUUUCUUAGAGUUUCUUCCAAAGUUUUCCUAGGUCUUCCUCUACCCCUUCGGCCCUGAACCUCUGUCCCAUAGUCGCAUCUUCUAAUCGGAGCGUCAGUAGGCCUUCUUUGCACAUGUCCAAACCACCGUAACCGAUUUUCUCUCAUCUUUCCUUCAAUUUCGGCUACUCCUACUUUACCCCGGAUAUCCUCAUUCCUAAUCUUAUCCUUUCUCGUGUGCCCACACAUCCAACGAAGCAUCCUCAUCUCCGCUACACCCAUUUUGUGUACGUGUUGAUGUUUCACCGCCCAACAUUCUGUGCCAUACAGCAUCGCCGGCCUUAUUGCCGUCCUAUAAAAUUUUCCCUUGAGCUUCAAUGGCAUACGGCGGUCACACAACACACCGGAUGCACUCUUCCACUUCAUCCAUCCCGCUUGUAUUCUAUGGUUGAGAUCUCCAUCUAAUUCUCCGUUCUUUUGCAAGAUAGAUCCUAGGUAACGAAAACGGUCGCUUUUUGGUAUUUCUUGAUCUCCGAUCCUCACCCCUAACUCGUUUUGGCCUCCAUUUGCACUGAACUUGCACUCCAUAUAUUCUGUCUUUGAUCGGCUUAGGCGAAGACCUUUAGAUUCCAACACUUCUCUCCAAAGGUUAAGCUUUGCAUUUACCCCUUCCUGAGUUUCAUCUAUCAACACUAUAUCGUCUGCGAAAAGCAUACACCAAGGAAAUAUCAUCUUGAAUAUGUCCUGUUAACUCAUCCAUUACCAACGCAAAAAGGUAAGGACUUAAGGAUGAGCCUUGAUGUAAUCCUACAGUUAUGGGGAAGCUUUCGGUUUGUCCUUCAUGAGUUCUUACGGCAGUCUUUGCUCCUUCAUACAUAUCCUUUAUAGCUUGGAUAUAUGCUACUCGUACUCCUUUCUUCUCUAAAAUCCUCCAAAGAAUGUCUCUUGGGACCCUAUCAUACGCUUUUUCCAAAUCUAUAAAGACCAUGUGUAAAUCCUUUUUCCCAUCUCUAUAUCUUUCCAUCAAUCUUCGUAAGAGAUAGAUUGCCUCCAUGGUUGAGCGCCCUGGCAUGAACCCGAAUUGGUUGUCCGAAACCCGUGUCUCUUGCCUCAAUCUAUGCUCAAUGACUCUCUCCCAGAGCUUCAUUGUAUGACUCAUUAGCUUAAUACCCCUAUAGUUCAUGCAAUUUUGUACGUCGCCCUUGUUUUUCCAUUGGCGAUUCUAGUUUUUUGUUUUUCAAAUCCUUUGCUGAGUAAAAGUAGAGGUUAUGGUUAUCACAUACCACUCCUUGCACAUCGAGGAUAGUUGUACUUUGAUCAAUGUUCUUCUUUGCUGCAAUUGAACAAGCUGGAAACUUAACCGCAAAUGUCCUUUCAAACUCCUGCACAUGGUACUUGAGAUAGCGGUCCAUAGUUGUGGCUUGCAUCAGCUUGGUCGCAUCUACUAGGCCUAUUCUCUCGAUUUACACAGGUCGUCCUUCCUUGUCUAUGCCAUGAUGUCCUUGGGGGUAGUAUUGCAAGACUUCAUCGAGUUCCUUGAAGUAAAAGUCCUAGAAGAAAAGAUAGAUACAUGAGUAACUAGAUUGAUGGACAAAUAUAAACAAAAGAAAUUCUGCUCUUACUAAAAGAAAACAAACAUAAAAAUCGAACGGAAAGAAGUAAAAUGAAAUAAUUAGCAAACUUCAAAAGCCUAAGCACCUAUUUCUACAGAGAAUACCUCCAUGAUUGUGUCAGCACCGAAUGCCUUCCUCCACUCGAGCAUGUCAGACCACAUUUUCUUGGUUUUGUCGACAUCAAAUUUCCUGGCCUUCAAGAAUCUGUCUUCCAAUGGUUAAGUUAGAUUGAAUAAGAAUGAAGUAUCUAUCUUAAAAACCAUCGAAGACAAAAACUUCUAGUGGAACAAGAAGAGGAAGAAACCUGAGCAUCUUAUGAUAAUCAUCGUGCUUGAAAGGAAGAAGCUCCUCCAAUAUAAGAGCCUGCCGCAGCGAGUCAACAGCCUGUAUCUCCUCUAAGUCAUGUACAUCCUCAAUGUCGAUAGACAAGACUUUACUACUGCUUGUUCUACCCCUUGUUGAAAAAGAAUUUCUGAACCUAACAGAGGCAUUCAUUGCCUUCUUCUUCAACGACCCGACUUUAGUCUUUCUAUCUUCCUCAGAGAUUUCAGCAUCAGAUACUGAAAAUUACACAACAUAAGAGAUUCAUACCUAUGCGCAUCAAACGCGAGGCAUCCUAAUAUGCAAAGAUUUAUAAGUCUACCUAUCAAUGCAUUAAAUUCCAAGGCUUUUUGUUCAUUCCAACAUCCUAAGGUCCCUUUAAAGUGGCAACGCGCAUUACAAAUUCAAGACAAGUCCUCACGUUUGAAGCAUACAGUUAUCAAGAUGUGAAAAUACGUUGAUUAUAAAUGAAAUAUCACCUGGUAGAGAUCCAGACAUGGUGUUACUUGUGAGGAAAACGGUGUUUACUUGUCCGAAAACAUUGCGAAAGUAGUAGCUGAAGGGCGGAAGAAGAAUCAAGCACUCGUAUCACAAUUCACAGAUGCAGACCCAGAAGCAAAACCCUGCCCAAAUGCCUGCAAUUACAGUCCCACUUGUAACCAAAUGCAGCUUAAAAAAAUAAAAAAUAAAAAUAAAUAAAAAUAAAAAUAAAAAAACCAAACCGAAGAGGAAAAUCGUCUAAAAUGAUCAGAAAUUAAACCCCAAUUGUAAAAUAAGAUAUCCACGACAUAGUGACCAAAUAAUAAUGACAUACUGAAAAACUGAUUAUUUUGCAAUUGGAAUUUGAAAAAAUGAUCGUUUUGGCAAUUUCCCAACUAGAAAAGCAAAUUACUUCCAAGUAAAUUUUAGCAGUAACAAAAAUGAGAAAACUUAAAGGGGAAUCCAAUUGAACAAAAUGCUUGCAUUUACAUUCCCACUCACAAAAUCACAACCACAAUGCAGCCUAAACUAAAAUUUGAAAAUACAACUAAGGAUAAAAUUAAAGGAGUUUUAACGAAACACUAUCGGUACUGUUCACUUACCAACACUUUUGUAUCAUUUUUAUUAAAACGCGAAGUUUUUAAAUCUUUUUUAUUAGUUUUUCCUUAAAAUUAAUUCGAAUAAAAUUGUGCAGUAAUAAAGACAGAAAGAGGCCGAGCCUUGACACAACGAAAAUAUUGUUUUUUUAUAACCGAAAGGUUACGAAUUCGAGUCGUGAAAACAACCUCUUUGCAAAGCAGACAGCCUUGUUGGCUUGAGUCGCCACUUUAGUAAAAAAGACAGAAAAACAAAAUGGAAUUAUUAUUGAUUUCAUUACGUCUAUCCUCUGGUGAACAGUGUUUGGGGGGCGGGGGUGGGGGGAGUCCCGAAAAAAAAAAAAACAAAAAUGGGGUUUUGGGGGGAGAGGGAAAAGGAUGGAUAUAAAUAUCCUGAAUCCUAGUUGGGAUUUGAGAGUUCUUAGAAAAUGGCGGAGAGACAGCGAGGCAGACAUGUUUGGAAGACACAUAGAAGAAAAUUAGUAAAUCUUGUUUUCUCUUUUUAAGGUUUCGAUUCAGUUCAGAGCUUGAUGUUUGACGAGGUCUCGACACAAGGCGAAACGCAAGGCAACUCCACUCAAAUUUAAAUAACGUCUCUUUGAUUCUCCCGGUAAAACUGUAUUGCCUUCAUUUCAUGUAUGGUUUUGUUUUCAUUUUUAUAAAAUCUCGAGAGAACAAUUUUAUUAACAAUAAUCAUGAAACAAUAUAGGGCAUGUAAUUUGAUCAUGGCUUACUAAUAUCGGGCUCGUUUAGAAAUGUUACUUUGAAAAACAUACUUAGAAGCACUUCCAUCGUAAUACAUUGAAAAAUUUAAUAAAAAUUCAAAAACAACCUGAAAUAUUUCUUGAAAGAAACAUCUGGCAAGUGUUUUUCUUAUAUAGCAUGACCGGAUGCUUUUCUAACCCAAAAGCAUUUUAACUUUUCCUCUUAAAUAUUAUGAAAAUCGGUUUUGGUUAUCUAAAAUCACUUCUAAAAGAUCGUUAUAUCAAUAAAAUCAGAGGCACCUUGAACCAACAAAAAACAAACCAAAAUAAAGAAUAGUAAUGCAACAAAAUAAGUGUUUCAACUAACUGGAUUAGAGAGAGAUAUACAUUGUGUAUUUGUUGUCUCUUUUCUUCACCUGCUGCCUUCUUUUAUUUUUGGGGAUAAGAAGUUAGAAACCAACAUCCUCCCAUUAUAUAGCGCUCCAGCAGACUCCUAUGAGUGUUCAUAUAGAACUGUAGAUUUCCAAAUCUACGUAUUUGGGAUUUGAUAGGAGAAAAAUCUUGAGAGUUGGAUUACGUAGUUAAUUGUUUGAUUUUACUAUGAAUAACGGAUCAUAGAUCUUAAGUUGUGAGAAUGUAUCUUGCUCGACGUUCACAUGCAUAACAAACUUUUAUUCUAACUAAAAAUAAAGGAUUAUAAAUCUUAGAUUGUUACUUGUUUACGAGAUAAUUUGUAAAUGUUGUCCUAUCACAGUUGUACUUUCUGUUUUUAUAGUUAACUUUUUUUGCAUUUUUCUUACUUUAUUAUAAAAUCCACAUCCUUUCUUUUAAAUCGUUUCAUGCAAAUGUACGUUUAUAUCAAAUCAUGUUAUAAAUAUGUCAAAGUUAGAGGGAUAACCUUUUUAGUGAAUAGAACGAAGCAGAUGUAAAAUGUCAUACUGAAAUUAUAGCACUAGGGAAUGACAAAUAAAAGAGGGAGGAAUAGAUGAUAUUAUUGAGCAUUCUUUCUUUCUUUAUGUAUAUUCUCUUUGUAUGUAUAUCGAUGGCAGUAAGAGUGCUCUAUUUAUAGAGCAACUCCAUAUGAAUAUCUUCUUACACUUUGAAAAUUUACAGCAUACCUUUUGAAAAGCAUGAUCUCCUGCAUCCAAAGUCAAUUUCUAUUUUUAUGGGCAUUGAAAACUUUUGCCAAAUUAAUGUGGGCAUUCACUACCCACCAGUAUUUUCAACAUUCCCCUUGGAUGCCCACAUAUCAACAUCAGUUGUCUCGUUAAAACCUUGAUAGGAAAAACCCAGUGGGAAAAAAACCAUAGCGAAGGAAAAAGAGUACAACUUUUCCUGGAUUGUUGACAUAGUGUUAAAUAUGCUUAUGUUGCCUCGUUAAAACCUUGAUAGGAAAAUCCCAGUGGGAAAAAUCCUAAUUGAAGGAAAAAGAGUACAACAUGCAUGUAUCAUGGAUGCUCCCCCUGAUAUGUAUCUCCCCCUGAUUCCGCAUUCUACAAAUUUAGUUGUUUGGUAAGUCGACGUAAUCCGAUACUUUACACUAACUUUUGAAACGUGCAUUUUGGUAGAGGCUUGGUGAACAAGUCUGCCAGAUUUUCAUUAGAACGGAUUUGUUUGACUUUAAUAACUUUAGCCUUCUGGAGCUCAUGUGCACUGAAAAACUUUAGAGAUAUGUGUUUAGUUUUAUCGCCCUUGAUGAAUCUUUCCUUCAUUUGGGCAACACAGGCUGCAUUAUCUUUAUGAAUGACAGUUGGAGUGUCUGUCUUUGAAGUUAAACCACAUGAAUUCCUGAUAUGAUGGAUCAUUGAUCUUAACCAAGAACAUUCAAGACUUGCUUUAUGUAAAGCAAGUAUUUCUGAAUUAUUUGAAGAUGUAGAACUAAUGUUUGCUUUGUUGAGCAUCAUGAGAUUGCUAUAUCUCCAUUCUUGAACACAUAUCCAGUUUGUGAGCGGGCUUUAUACGGAUAAGAGAGGAAACCAACAUCUACAUAUCCAACAAGGACCUGGUCAUUUGUGAAGUUCUUUGAGUAGAAGACCCAUGUCUGUUGUCCCACGAAGGUAUCGCAAUACAUCUUUAACACCUUUCCAAUGACGAAUUGUUGGAGCAGAGCUAUAGCUUGCUAACAAGUUGAUUGAAAAAGCUAUAUCAGGUCUAUUACAUUGUGCUAAAUACAACAAAACACCUACUGCACUUAGAUAUGGUACUUCUGGACCAUGGACCAUUUCAUCAUCUUCUUUUGAACGGAAUGGAUCUUUCUUAAUGUCCAGAGAACGAACGACCAUUGGCGUGCUAAGUGGAUAAGCUUUGUCCAUGCCAAAUAGCUUCAGGAUUUUUUCAAUAUAAGCUGAUUGGUGGACCAAAAUUCCACUAGCACAGAGCUCGAUCUGCAGGCCGAGACAAAAUUUUGUUUUUCCAAUGUCUUUCAUUUCAAAUUCGCUUUCCAGAUAUUCAGUAGUUUUAUGGAACUCUUUAGGGGUUCUAACUAGGUUCAUAUCAUCAACAUAUACUGCCACUAUAGCAAAUCCAGAGUUGGAUUUCUUAAUGAACACACAAGGGCAAAUGACAUUGUUGAUAUACCCUUCUUUGAUCAAAUACUCACUGAGACGAUUAUACCACAUUCGUCUAGAUUGUUUUAGCCCAUACAAUGAUCGCCUUAAUUUGAUCGAGAGCAUACCUCGUGGUUUGUUACUUGUUUCAGGCAACUUAAGUCCUUUUGGGACUUUCAUAUAUAUGUUAGUAUCUAAUUCUCCAUAUAGAUACGCAGUGAUGACAUCUAUAAGUCGCAUGUCAAGUUUUCUGAAACCACUAAACUUAUUAAGUAACGGAACGUAAUUGCGUUUAUUACAGGAGAGUAGGUCUCCUCAUAAUCAAUUCCAGGUCUUUGCGAAAAACCUUAAGCAACGAGUCGUGCUUUAUAUCUUGCAAUAUCAUUUUUCUCAUUGCGUUUCCUUAUGAAUACCCAUUUGUAACCCACGGGAUUUACAUCAGGCGGGGUUUGGACUACUGGUCCAAAAACAUUUCGCCUUUUCAAGGAAUUUAAUUCUACCUGAAUUGCAUCUUUCCACUUAGGCCAAUCUUGUCUCUGUUUACAUUCAUCAACAGAGCGGGGCUCAAUAUCAUCACUUAAUAUGAUUUCAGUGGCUACUGCGAAUGCAAACAUAUCGUCUAUAAUUAUUUCAUUCUGAUCCCACAAUUCAUUAGUGCAUGUAUAAUUUAUGGAGAUUUCUUUGCUUUCAUGUACUUUUGUCUCUUCAGGAACAUGUGUCUCAUCAACGACAUUUUCUUCUUCUGGAAGUCCAGAAUCAUGAAUUGUGGAUUUGUCAUUCAUUCUCUCUUCCCCGAAUGAUUUCAUUUGGAUUCAGCUGUGUCCUUAUCUUUCUCUUUCGAAGGGGUAAAUCUUUUGAACCUGGGGGUCUACCACGCUUCAGGCAUGCACCAUAUGAAUCAUACGCUGCCACUUUAUUUUGUCCAAUAAGGACAUCAAUUCUUGCAAGUGCAUUUGCAACUGGUAUAUGUGAUUUUUUCACUUUCAUAGCAUCAUUAAAUGUAUCUGGCAUUUGAUUGGCAAUGAUUUGAAGAUGGACGAUCCUUUUUACUUCAUUUUCACAUUGAAUGCUUCGAUGAUAAAAAUGAGACAAUGUGGGAACAACCCAUGUCAGCUCUUUCCAUUCUUCUGGAACGGUCUUUUCUUCCCUUAACGACGGGAAGACUGUCUCAUCAAAGUGACAAUCAGCAAAACGAGCUGUAAACAUAUUACCAGUUAAGGGUUCCAAAUAUCUAAUGAUAGAUAGUGAAUCAAAACCCACAUAAAUUCCCAGUCUACGCUGAGGUCCCAUUUUAGUGCGUUGCGGGGGUGUAAUAGGCACAUAAACAGUACAACCAAAAACUCGUAAGUGUGAAAUGUUUGGUUGAUAUCCAAACACGAGUUAUAUUGAGGAGUAUUGGUGGUUGGCUAUAGGUCUCAAUCGAACCAAUGAUGCAGCAUGUAGGAUGGCAUGUCCCCAUGCAGAAACUGGCAAUGUGGUUUUCAUAAGCAGAGUGCGAGCUAUUAACUGAAGCAGCUUGAUCAAUGCUUCUGCCAAACCAUUUUGAGUAUAGACAUGAGGAACAGGGUGUUCAACAUCAAUGCCCAAUGUCAUGCAAUAAUCAUCAAAAGUUUGAGACGUAAAUUCACCAGCGUUAUCAAGUCGGAUUGACUUAAUGGGAUAAUCUGGGAACUGUGCUCGUAACUUAGUUAUCUGAGCAAGAAGUCUCGCAAGAGCUACAUUACGAGUAGACAAGAGACAAACAUGUGACCAUCUAGUAGAUGCAUCAACCAAAACCAUAAAAUAUCGAAAUGGUCCACAAGAUGGUUGAAUAGGUCCACAAAUAUCUCUCUGAAUUCUUUGUAGAAAUGAUGGGGAUUCAGCAUCAACUUUUAGUUGUGAUGGUCUGAUUACUAACUUCCCUUGAGAACAAGCUUUGCAAGGGUUAUCAUUUGUGAUAGCAUGUCUUUG
rnacentral:lncRNA from 1 species